CUGUGUGGGGAUUUGGCAAAUUGACACUCCACAGCUGCAGGCAGGUGCCCCUGUGUGCUGACGUGCACAGAACAGAAGCAGUGACAGAGGUUCGGUGGUUGUCUCCUGUGUAACAGGGACAGACGCUCUCCUGGGCCGU